rnacentral:lncRNA from 1 species
GACGCGCUUGCACAUUCCACUGUGUACUUGUUCCCUCCCAUCAGCAUAGGGUUAUUGUGAUCAAUGUUUAGACAAAUUGGAAUCAUCCAGUGUCUUUUGCUUUGGACUGAGAUUUUGAACUUCCAAGGUACCAGAGUUAGCUGUAAUGAUCCAGAAAACAACUUCAUGAAAACCAUCAUCCAAAAUGAAGAAUUAAACGAAUCCUACAUGACAUUAGAAAUAUAGUAGGUUAUGA